CCCACUGGAGUUAGAAAUAUUAAUGAAUACGUAUGGAGAAUACGAGUAUAUAUAUUUAAGAAAAAAAAGCAAUACAGGAGCAGCAGAAAAAGAACGUGAGCUGGCGUCGCAGAAAAUUGCUGACCAAGUCAACGCGUGCAACCCAACAGGCACAAAAUGUACUUGGCACCAACUGAAGAUGAAAUAUAACAAUAUAGUUCAAACAGAACAAUGCUGACAAUGAGGAAGAUGGUUUACCUCCACAGCACAAUUUACCUCACUCCCUGUGAAACAGCUGUACAAGGUGUACCUAAAAGCAAAUUUAAUAAUCUAAUUUAGAAAUGGACCGCAUAAGACUGCAAAUGCAAAAGACAAAAAUAGAAAUACAGCUGCUGGAACAUCAGUUAAAGAUGGGUGAGGUGCCCAUAGGUGGAUGUUUUAACAACAUAACACAAUAAUAACAUGUACUGCAUUUGC